rnacentral:rRNA from 1 species
UACGAAGGGGGGCUAGCGUUGUUCGGAAUCACUGGGCGUAAAGCGCACGUAGGCGGCUUUUUAAGUCAGAGGUGAAAUCCUGGAGCUCAACUCCAGAACUGCCUUUGAUACUGGAGAGCUUGAGUCCGGGAGAGGUGAGUGGAACUGCGAGUGUAGAGGUGAAAUUCGUAGAUAUUCGCAAGAACACCAGUGGCGAAGGCGGCUCACUGGCCCGGUACUGACGCUGAGGUGCGAAAGCGUGGGGAGCAAACAGGAUAGAA